rnacentral:rRNA from 1 species
UACGUAGGGGGGCGAGCGUUGUCCGGAUUUACUGGGCGUAAAGAGCGUGUAGGCGGCCAGACAGGUCCGUUGUGAAAACUCGAGGCUCAACCUCGAGAUGUCGGCUGAAACCAUCUGGCUAGAGUCCGGAAGAGGAGAGUGGAAUUCCUGGUGUAGCGGCGAAAUGCGCAGAGUAAUCAGGCAAGAACACCCGUGGCGGAAGGCGGCGUCUCUGGGACGGUACUGACGCUGAAGA